rnacentral:rRNA from 1 species
GCAUCCUGUCACCAGGUAGCGGCCUUCUGUACCCCCCAUUGUAACACGUGUGUAGCCCCGGACGUAAGGGCCGUGCUGAUUUGACGUCAUCCCCACCUUCCUCACAUCUUACGACGGCAGUCUCUCCAGAGUCCUCAGCAUGACCUGUUAGUAACUGAAGAUAAGGGUUGCGCUCGUUAUGGCACUUAAGCCGACACCUCACGGCACGAGCUGACGACAACCAUGCAGCACCUUCACAUUUGUCUUACGACUAACCAAUUUCUUGAUUAUUCAAAUGCAAUUUAAGCCCGGGUAAGGUUCCUCGCGUAUCAUCGAAUUAAACCACAUGUUCCUCCGCUUGUGCGGGCCCCCGUCAAUUCCUUUGAGUUUCACCGUUGCCGGCGUACUCCCCAGGUGGAAUACUUAAUGCUUUCGCUUGGCCGCUUACUGUAUAUCGCAAACAGCGAGUAUUCAUCGUUUACUGUGUGGACUACCAGGGUAUCUAAUCCUGUUUGAUACCCACACUUUCGAGCAUCAGUGUCAGUUGCAGUCCAGUGAGCUGCCUUCGCAAUCGGAGUUCUUCGUGAUAUCUAAGCAUUUCACCGCUACACCACGAAUUCCGCCCACCUCUACUGUACUCAAGACAGCCAGUAUCAACUGCAAUUUUACGGUUGAGCCGCAAACUUUCACAACUGACUUAACUGUCCACCUACGCUCCCUUUAAACCCAAUAAAUCCGGAUAACGCUCGGAUCCUCCGUAUUACCGCGGCUGCUGGCACGGAGUUAGCCGAUCCUUAUUCAUAUGGUACAUACAAAAAUCCACACGUGGACCACUUUAUUCCCAUAUAAAAGAAGUUUACAACCCAUAGGGCAGUCAUCCUUCACGCUACUUGGCUGGUUCAGACUCUCGUCCAUUGACCAAUAUUCCUCACUGCUGCCUCCCGUAGGAGUUUGGACCGUGUCUCAGUUCCAAUGUGGGGGACCUUCCUCUCAGAACCCCUAUCCAUCGAAGGUUUGGUGGGCCGUUACCCCACCAACUGCCUAAUGGAACGCAUCCCCAUCGAUAACCGAAAUUCUUUAAUAAUCAAACCAUGCGGUUCUAUUAUGCCAUCGGGUAUUAAUCUUUCUUUCGAAAGGCUAUCCCCGAGUUAUCGGCAGGUUGGAUACGUGUUACUCACCCGUGCGCCGGUCGCCAUCUCCAGUUUGCAAGCAAACUGGAAUGCUGCCCCUCGACUUGCAUGUG